rnacentral:ncRNA from 1 species
UUUCGGGGCGAGGUGAAAUUCCUCACCGGUGGUACAGUCCACGACCUGCCGAAAGGCGGCUGACUCGGUGAAAUUCCGAGACCGACGGUUAAAGUCCGGAUAAGAGAAAU